GAGUCAGUGUGGCAUAGUGGUUUGAGCAUUGGGCUAUGACUCUAGAGACCAGGGUCUGAUUCCCAGCUGACCCA